AUAAUUGUUUUGGUGAUUUUUAGUUACUGUUUCAUUCCCGAAGACUAGGUUCUUGAAUUCAUGAGUCACCUAUGGCGUCGUGGUAACUAACAUUUAAAUUCCUUUUAUUGCAGGUCGAUGUAGAGAAUUUACUUUAUCAGAGUGAAGCCCCAUGGUGGUUCUUUUAGAUUUUUCACUUGAAUUAUUUCCUAAUUGGCAUUCAAGAGUGACGUAUUGUGUUUUAGUUAUUAAAAAAAAAACUAUAUAAUGGUAUAUCCGUAAUUUGACUGGGAUGGAUAUAUGCGUGUGUGUGUCUAAGAAUCCAUAAGUCAGAAACCCUCUCAGGAGUUGCAAAAGACUGACUCUACUAAAAUAUUUUGAAAACAAAAAUCGCCAAAACGAUUUGAGUGCCCCAAUAUCCUGAGUUCAGUUCAUACAUCUGCUUUCUCUGAAUUGGGUAAAUACUGAGGCAAGUGUUCUAUGGUCGGAUGCUGUUCCUAUCGCCAACUCUCACCUGUUUUUUUUUCAAAUUACAGAUUUUAAUUGCACUGUUUUACUCGUGAUACUGGUCAUGCCCAAGCUAUGGAAGACAUUUCCAAUGUACCACAAUGGGAUGGUAGCUGAGAGACCAUGUAGUUGAAAAACAAACUGCUCAGGUUACUGGGACGUAAGUAAACCAGUACCGGUUGUCAAGCGGUGCUGGUAGAGCUUCUUUCAUGUUCCGUCUACCAAAUUCCCUGAAGACUUAACCCGAGGCUAUAAUUAGGGAACGCUUACUCAAAUCGAGAAUUUUUCAUUGUUUUGGGUUUAUAUAUUCGAGGUUUCAAUAUACCUGUGUAUAAUCUACAUUCUCGAAAACGUAUGUCUGCAAAAUAUCGUUUAAAAAUAUGCAUUUUGAAGAGGAGCGUUAAAAGUUUUGCUUCCUGACCACAUGGUGCCGGAUCCAGUUCCACAGCGUGGCACUUAUAGCGUUGUUCUAUAGCCCCUGGCUGACCAAUGGAUUUGGUAGAAGAAAACUGAAAGAAGCCCGUCCUGUAUACACAGCAGUUCAGCAUAAUAGAUUGAACCGACAAAAUUACCAGGCUUAAAUGAUAAAAAAAAAAAAAAAAAAUUAAGGUACUAGGAUUUUCCUGUUCGAAAUCCCUUCUAAGCAGUAUUCCAAUAUGGCUGCAACCUAUUGACUGAAACAAGCAAAAGGUAAUCAUAAUCUACAUUCUCGAAAGCUUAUUUCUGCGAAAUUUCAUUUAGAAUUAUGCUUUUUUUUUCUUAAAAAGUUAUGCAGAAACUUAGCUGUCUGUAAUUAUGACCCUAACCACACAAUCAUGCCUGCACAAUAAUAACUGGUAUUGCAGAAAUAUGUAUAAGUAUUUUGUCCAUUUAAUGAUAUAUGGAGUUUUUAUUUGUAAGUUCUCAAAAUUACAUUUGACAUUAAAUGCAAUUAUUCCUAGGAACGAACUUUUAGGUAACAUAAGGAUAUCAAAGGUUUUAUAAAAUUGCUAAUUGUUAUAAUUUUGGCAUCUAUUUUACUAAACCAUGCUUCAUCUAUGCAUAUAAACUCUCUAUUGAAUGUUAUGUCUGAAUUUUUGCAACUUUGACGCUAUGUAUACACAUGCAAGCAUGGCUGUGUGGUUGAGAAGCUUGUUUCCAUGUGGUUUCGGAGGUUCAGUUUCAUGGCAUAGAAUAAGAAGUCUUCUUAUAGCCCCAGGCUAACCAAAGCAUUGUGAGUGAAUUUGGUAAACACAGCAGCUGUCUUGCUAAACAUUCGGUCAUUCAUCAAAGCAGUGAGGUAGCCCAAUUGUGUGCAUGCCUCUGCCCUUGUCUUGAUGGUUGUAAAUAAGUGUCACCAUCAUACAAGCGGUUUGUUUCCAGUUUUCUGUGAAACGUAUAUCUGGCUAUGGAGAGAUAGUACCUUGCUUGGAAACAAGUGAAGGUUGGUGACAAGAAGGGAAUCUGGUCAUAGAGAAGCUGCCUCGACAAAUUCUAACCCAUGAGCAUGAUGAUACAAAGAUGAAUGUGUCUGUGAAUUUCGUCUGGUAAUUGGAAAGUAAAUUUCCCCGUGUUGGAUGAAUUUACUUUUUCUUUCCUUUCUCUUUCUAUAAAAUGGCAGCAGCUUUAAACUUCUUAUCUAACCAUGAUGAUCCUUUUUAUUCUUCCUGUUUCAACAGUCAUCAUUCAGUAACUGAAAGAAGUCUUCGCCAGUUUUGCAGAUAAAGACUUAAUCUACAGUUGUAUUCUUUUGGUGGCAACUUCUCACUGCUUGAUGGAAGUGCUUUUCAAAUGCCUAUUACCAGCUUUGAUAAUCAGUGGUGAAAAAAUUGCAAUUAGAGCCAGUUUAUACUACCUGUGGAAAAAGACUUGAGUGCAAGAGCAGUAACAAAAGAAAUUAACAGGGGCACAAGAACUGUCAACAAAUGUAUGACACAAAACUGGUUCAUAUGUUUCAAGGAAGAUGACACUACCCUCAAAGACAAGCCAAGGUUAAGAAGACCUGUUGUGGAAGAUGAGGCCUUGCUUGAAAUGGUUGAACAAGUCAAGAACCAACACUUCCAUAAGCUUGGCCUUAUAAGUAGAAGUUGUCAAGAAGUUCCUCAAGAACAGACCAAUGACUUGUGAAUAUUUGCAAAACAUUUUUUUGACUUGACCUGGACGUUUUGUCUCAAAACCAGUUCAUUGCUCAGUAAAGAAGCAAAAAUUGGCAAAUGAUGCUAAAUCCUGGACGCUUCUCUCUGUCCUCUGUACAAUUCUUCGUCACUUCCCACAAACAUUUUUAGUGACUUAUUGUCUCUUGUACCAUUUUGUUACUAAAUUGAUCAUCCUUUCUCAUUGACUCCUGUAUCUGAUACCUCACCUAGAGACUUUCAGGUACUCUGCUGAUACACUGCAGCAUUUUCUUUAAAAAAAAAAUAAAAAAAAUCACAAAAGUGUAACAUGGUACAGCAUACUGAGACCAAUUGUGUUCUAAAUUCUAGGUCCUUCUACAGUGUUUGUCUUCUACCCUCAUUCCAGCAGCACCUACCUUCACUGAGUUACUGAGUAUGCUCUCUGCACAUGAUUUGUUUUCAACUCCUUGUAGAAACUGGUGUUUGUGAGUAGAAGGCACCAUCACCUUCUGAUCAGGCUCCUUUCUACACAGAAAAAUUCAAUGCAACCUGUUUUCUUGCAGUGCUACUCAGUGCUUCUACCAACAAUUACUAAUUUCCUUUUGUGGAAAAUAGCUUACUGAAGCCUCCUUGGUUUUUAACUUUUUCCUUUCAUUACUCCUGGUUUAAAUUUCAAUAUGUUGCUAUGGGAAAUGACAUUUCAGACUUCCAGCUUAUUAUGCUUGGCUAAAGCUGAAGUUUCAAGCUUUAAAACUUGUCUCUUUUCUCUCCCCAAAACAGUUGAAAUUUUCACCAUUAGCUUGAAACUGCAUCUAUAAAAAUUUGACAAAACAAUCAGAUGUCAAACCAGAAAGAUCCCAUACAUUACUUAGUAAGAUUUGUAAUGCGCAUUAACCUUUAAUUCUCUUUCAUUCAUUCAUUGUUAGAUUGAAAUUUGAAAUAAUUUACGUUUAACAACUUUAAAAUUAUUGAACAUGUGUUGAAAUGCGUUUAUUAAUUUUUAUUUCCCAAUGUAGUAAAUUAUUCAAAAUACUUUUGUGAAGGUAACAGUUUUCAAAAUUCCAUCAUUUCCAUUUCGGUUUUUAGUUCUAUACUGAAGGAGGCUGUAUGCAACUCUUCCUUCCAAAAGAUUUGCUCUUUAUAGAGGUGAUGAGGUUCUGACACCCUUUUAAGGCUCAAAUUGCCAGAUUCUUGGAUAUAAUAAAAUACUUUUCUAAAAUUUAUGAAGAAUUUUUGGUCUUCCAAGUUAAAUAAACUAAUUUUAUUUUAUUAAAACCUGGUA
rnacentral:lncRNA from 1 species